rnacentral:rRNA from 1 species
UACGUAGGGGGCAAGCGUUGUCCGGAAUCAUUGGGCGUAAAGGGCGCGUAGGCGGCCAUUCAAGUCAGGGGUGAAAGCCUGUGGCUCAACCACAGAAUUGCCUUUGAUACUGUUUGGCUAGAGACCGGAAGAGGUAAGUGGAACUGCGAGUGUAGAGGUGAAAUUCGUAGAUAUUCGCAAGAACACCAGUGGCGAAGGCGGCUUACUGGUCCGGUUCUGACGCUGAGGCGCGAAAGCGUGGGGAGCAAACAGG